UCUAAAACCAACCUAAACAUACUUGAUCUUGUCUGAUUCUGGAAGCUAAGCAGGGUUGGGCUUGCUCAGUACUUGGAAGGGAGACCAUGAAGUAAUAACAAGGAUUUACAGAA
rnacentral:rRNA from 1 species